rnacentral:rRNA from 1 species
UAGGGAAUCUUCGGCAAUGGACGAAAGUCUGACCAAGCAACGCCGCGUGAGUGAAGUAGGUUUUCGGAUCGUAAAACUCUGUUGUUAGAGAAGAACAAGGGUGAGAGUAACUGUUCACCCCUUGACGGUAUCUAACCAGAAAGCCACGGCUAACUACGUGCCA